GUAGUUAGCCGGGGCUUCCUCCUUGGCUACCGUCACUUUCUUCGUCACCAAGGACAGAGGUUUACAACCCGAAAGCCUUCUUCCCUCACGCGGCGUUGCUGGGUCAGGCUUGCGCCCAUUGCCCAAUAUUCCCCACUGCUGCCUCCCGUAGGAGUCUGGACCGUGUCUCAGUUCCAGUGUGGCCGAUCAGCCUCUCAGCUCGGCUACCCAUCGUUGGCUAGGUGGCCGUUACCCCGCUACUACCUAAUGGGACGCGAACCCCUCCUUCUGCGGAUUGCUCCUUUGACCCCUGAGCCAUGCGACUCUGUGGUCUUAUGCGGUAUUAGCACUUGUUUCCAGGUGUUAUCCCCCUCAAAAGGGCAGGUUGUUCACGCGUUACUCACCCGUUCGCCACUAGCUAUAAAUCCGAAAACCUAUAGCCCGUUCGACUUGCAUGUGUUAGGCACGCCGCCAGCGUUCGUCCUGAGCCAGUAUCAAACUCUGA
rnacentral:rRNA from 1 species